CACUGAUAAAAUGUGUGAGUGCUGCCCAUGCACUCAGCAGUUUAUGUUUGCAAUUCAAAAUUUGUAUAGAUCAUUAAAAAGAAAAAAACUUUCUUUAUCACAUUGAUGGCAUAAGAGCUGGGCUUUGGGAGAUAGAGCUCCCAAAGCCUCCUUGCACCACAACCACUAAUAAAAUAUGGUUUAUUAUGGUUCUCAGUUGAUCCUUUAACCUCCUCACUGCAAGGAAUUACUCUGAGUGGUCACACGCAGUGCUUCUGGCAUUCACAGGAUAACACUGUCAUCCUCUGCAUUCUUGCCUUUCUGAGGUGAAAUGGGAAAAAACAAGAUUAAACAUCUCUCAUUACAUUAUAGCACACAGUACCUAAUGACAUCACAUAAUAAGGACAUGCCAAAUGGCGCAUUUUAGUUUAUGUAUUUG